rnacentral:SRP_RNA from 1 species
ACUGGGCCCAGGGGCACGUGCCUAUAUUCCCAGCAACUCGGGAGGCAGAGAUGGGAGGAUCACUUGAGCCCAGGAGUUCUGAGCUGUAGUGAGCUAUGCCGAAUGGGUGUCCAUACCUAAGUUUGGCAUCAAUAUGGUGACCUCUCGGGAUCGGAGGACCACCAGGUUAAGGAGGGGUGAACUGGACCAGGUCAGAAACGGAGCAGGUCAAAACUCCCGUGCUGAUCAGUAGUGGGAUCACGCCUGUGAAUAGCCACUGCACUACGGCCUGGGCAACACAGUGAGACCCCCGUCUCUU